GAUUAAGUUAUUAAGGGCGCACGGUGGAUGCCUUGGCACUAGAAGCCGAUGAAGGACGUUACUAACGACGAUAUGCUUUGGGGAGCUGUAAGUAAGCUUUGAUCCAGAGAUUUCCGAAUGGGGAAACCCAGCAUGAGUUAUGUCAUGUUAUCGAUAUGUGAAUACAUAGCAUAUCAGAAGGCACACCCGGAGAACUGAAACAUCUUAGUACCCGGAGGAAGAGAAAGAAAAUUCGAUUCCCUUAGUAGCGGCGAGCGAAACGGGAAGAGCCCAAACCAACAAGCUUGCUUGUUGGGGUUGUAGGACACUCUAUACGGAGUUACAAAGGACGACAUUAGACGAAUCAUCUGGAAAGAUGAAUCAAAGAAGGUAAUAAUCCUGUAGUCGAAAAUGUUGUCUCUCUUGAGUGGAUCCUGAGUACGACGGAGCACGUGAAAUUCCGUCGGAAUCUGGGAGGACCAUCUCCUAAGGCUAAAUACUCUCUAGUGACCGAUAGUGAACCAGUACCGUGAGGGAAAGGUGAAAAGCACCCCGGAAGGGGAGUGAAAUAGAACCUGAAACCGUGUGCUUACAAGUAGUCAGAGCCCGUUAACGGGUGAUGGCGUGCCUUUUGUAGAAUGAACCGGCGAGUUACGAUUUGAUGCAAGGUUAAGCAGUAAAUGUGGAGCCGUAGCGAAAGCGAGUCUGAAUAGGGCGUUUAGUAUUUGGUCGUAGACCCGAAACCAGGUGAUCUACCCUUGGUCAGGUUGAAGUUCAGGUAACACUGAAUGGAGGACCGAACCGACUUACGUUGAAAAGUGAGCGGAUGAACUGAGGGUAGCGGAGAAAUUCCAAUCGAACCUGGAGAUAGCUGGUUCUCUCCGAAAUAGCUUUAGGGCUAGCCUCAAGUGAUGAUUAUUGGAGGUAGAGCACUGUUUGGACGAGGGGCCCCUCUCGGGUUACCGAAUUCAGACAAACUCCGAAUGCCAAUUAAUUUAACUUGGGAGUCAGAACAUGGGUGAUAAGGUCCGUGUUCGAAAGGGAAACAGCCCAGACCACCAGCUAAGGUCCCAAAAUAUAUGUUAAGUGGAAAAGGAUGUGGCGUUGCCCAGACAACUAGGAUGUUGGCUUAGAAGCAGCCAUCAUUUAAAGAGUGCGUAAUAGCUCACUAGUCGAGUGACACUGCGCCGAAAAUGUACCGGGGCUAAACAUAUUACCGAAGCUGUGGAUUGUCCUUUGGACAAUGGUAGGAGAGCGUUCUAAGGGCGUUGAAGCAUGAUCGUAAGGACAUGUGGAGCGCUUAGAAGUGAGAAUGCCGGUGUGAGUAGCGAAAGACGGGUGAGAAUCCCGUCCACCGAUUGACUAAGGUUUCCAGAGGAAGGCUCGUCCGCUCUGGGUUAGUCGGGUCCUAAGCUGAGGCCGACAGGCGUAGGCGAUGGAUAACAGGUUGAUAUUCCUGUACCACCUAUAAUCGUUUUAAUCGAUGGGGGGACGCAGUAGGAUAGGCGAAGCGUGCGAUUGGAUUGCACGUCUAAGCAGUAAGGCUGAGUAUUAGGCAAAUCCGGUACUCGUUAAGGCUGAGCUGUGAUGGGGAGAAGACAUUGUGUCUUCGAGUCGUUGAUUUCACACUGCCGAGAAAAGCCUCUAGAUAGAAAAUAGGUGCCCGUACCGCAAACCGACACAGGUAGUCAAGAUGAGAAUUCUAAGGUGAGCGAGCGAACUCUCGUUAAGGAACUCGGCAAAAUGACCCCGUAACUUCGGGAGAAGGGGUGCUCUUUAGGGUUAACGCCCAGAAGAGCCGCAGUGAAUAGGCCCAAGCGACUGUUUAUCAAAAACACAGGUCUCUGCUAAACCGUAAGGUGAUGUAUAGGGGCUGACGCCUGCCCGGUGCUGGAAGGUUAAGAGGAGUGGUUAGCUUCUGCGAAGCUACGAAUCGAAGCCCCAGUAAACGGCGGCCGUAACUAUAACGGUCCUAAGGUAGCGAAAUUCCUUGUCGGGUAAGUUCCGACCCGCACGAAAGGCGUAACGAUUUGGGCACUGUCUCAACGAGAGACUCGGUGAAAUCAUAGUACCUGUGAAGAUGCAGGUUACCCGCGACAGGACGGAAAGACCCCGUGGAGCUUUACUGUAGCCUGAUAUUGAAAUUCGGCACAGCUUGUACAGGAUAGGUAGGAGCCUUUGAAACGUGAGCGCUAGCUUACGUGGAGGCGCUGGUGGGAUACUACCCUAGCUGUGUUGGCUUUCUAACCCGCACCACUUAUCGUGGUGGGAGACAGUGUCAGGCGGGCAGUUUGACUGGGGCGGUCGCCUCCUAAAAGGUAACGGAGGCGCUCAAAGGUUCCCUCAGAAUGGUUGGAAAUCAUUCAUAGAGUGUAAAGGCAUAAGGGAGCUUGACUGCGAGACCUACAAGUCGAGCAGGGUCGAAAGACGGACUUAGUGAUCCGGUGGUUCCGCAUGGAAGGGCCAUCGCUCAACGGAUAAAAGCUACCCCGGGGAUAACAGGCUUAUCUCCCCCAAGAGUUCACAUCGACGGGGAGGUUUGGCACCUCGAUGUCGGCUCAUCGCAUCCUGGGGCUGUAGUCGGUCCCAAGGGUUGGGCUGUUCGCCCAUUAAAGCGGUACGCGAGCUGGGUUCAGAACGUCGUGAGACAGUUCGGUCCCUAUCCGUCGUGGGCGUAGGAAAUUUGAGAGGAGCUGUCCUUAGUACGAGAGGACCGGGAUGGACAUACCUCUGGUGUACCAGUUGUCGUGCCAACGGCAUAGCUGGGUAGCUAUGUGUGGACGGGAUAAGUGCUGAAAGCAUCUAAGCAUGAAGCCCCCCUCAAGAUGAGAUUUCCCAACUUCGGUUAUAAGAUCCCUCAAAGAUGAUGAGGUUAAUAGGUUCGAGGUGGAAGCAUGGUGACAUGUGGAGCUGACGAAUACUAAUCGAUCGAAGACUUAAUCAA
rnacentral:rRNA from 1 species